rnacentral:tRNA from 1 species
UGUAGCUUAGUGGUAGAGCAUGUGCCUCUCCUACACAAGGCCUAAGGUUCAAUUCCUUCCA